CCGUAGGUGAACCUGCGGAGGGAUCAUUG
rnacentral:rRNA from 4 species